rnacentral:rRNA from 1 species
GGGUAUUGGUUUUCGGACCAGAGACCGGCGCACGGGUGCGUAACGCGUAUGCAAUCUACCUUUUACAGAGGGAUAGCCCAGAGAAAUUUGGAUUAAUACCUCAUAGUAUUAUUUACUGGCAUCAUUAAAUAAUUAAAGUUCCAACGGUAAAAGAUGCGCAUGCGUCCCAUUAGCUAGAUGGUAAGGUAACGGCUUACCAUGGCGACGAUGGGUAGGGGUCCUGAGAGGGAGAUCCCCCACACUGGUACUGAGACACGGACCAGACUCCUACGGGAGGCAGCAGUGAGGAAUAUUGGUCAAUGGGCGCAAGCCUGAACCAGCCAUGCCGCGUGCAGGAUGAAGCAUCUAUGGUGUGUAAACUGCUUUUGUACGAGAAGAAACACUCCUACGUGUAGGAGCUUGACGGUAUCGUAAGAAUAAGGACCGGCUAACUCCGUGCCAGCAGCCGCGGUAAUACGGAGGGUCCAAGCGUUAUCCGGAAUCAUUGGGUUUAAAGGGUCCGUAGGCGGUUUUGUAAGUCAGUGGUGAAAGCCCAUCGCUCAACGGUGGAACGGCCAUUGAUACUGCAAAACUUGAAUUAUUGGGAAGUAACUAGAAUAUGUAGUGUAGCGGUGAAAUGCUUAGAUAUUACAUGGAAUACCAAUUGCGAAGGCAGGUUACUAUCAAUAUAUUGACGCUGAUGGACGAAAGCGUGGGGAGCGAACAGGAUUAGAUACCCUGGUAGUCC